ACGUUAGCGGCGGACGGGUGAGUAACACGUGGGUAACCUACCUAUAAGACUGGGAUAACUUCGGGAAACCGGAGCUAAUACCGGAUAAUAUUUAGAACCGCAUGGUUCGAUAGUGAGAGGUGGUUUUGCUAUCACUUAUAGAUGGACCCGCGCCGUAUUAGCUAGUUGGUAAGGUAACGGCUUACCAAGGCGACGAUACGUAGCCGACCUGAGAGGGUGAUCGGCCACACUGGAACUGAGACACGGUCCAGACUCCUACGGGAGGCAGCAGUG
rnacentral:rRNA from 1 species